rnacentral:rRNA from 1 species
UACGGGGGGGGCAAGCGUUGUUCGGAAUUACUGGGCGUAAAGGGCGCGUAGGCGGUUCGUUAAGUCCUGUGUGAAAUCCCCCGGCUCAACUGGGGAACUGCACAGGAAACUAGCGGGCUUGAGUUCGGGAGAGGGAAGCGGAAUUCCGGGUGUAGCGGUGGAAUGCGUAGAGAUCCGGAAGAACACCGGUGGCGAAGGCGGUCUGCUGGGCAGUUGCUGGACACUGAGCGCGACGAGCGUGGGGAGCAAACAGG